rnacentral:rRNA from 1 species
AUACGGAGGGUGCAAGCGUUACUCGGAAUCACUGGGCGUAAGGCGCGCGCAGGCGGCUAUUUAAGUUGGAUGUGAAAGCCUAUGGCUCAACCAUAGAACUGCAUCCAAAACUAUUUAGCUAGAGUGUGGGAGAGGAAGAUGGAAUUAGUUGUGUAGGGGUAAAAUCCGUAGAGAUAACUAGGAAUACCAAAAGCGAAGGCAAUCUUCUGGAACACUACUGACGCUGAGGCGCGAAAGCGUGGGGAGCAAACAGGAUUAGAAACCCUAGUAGUCC